rnacentral:rRNA from 1 species
UUCCGGUUGAUCCUGCCGGAGGUUAUUGCUAUCCGGAUUCGACUAAGCCAUGCAAGUCUUGGUGUUCAAUUUAUUGGACACUAGGGCAGAAAGCUCAGUAACAUGUAGUUAAUAUGCCCUCAAGUCAGGGAUAAUCUCGGGAAACUGAGGCUAAUACCUGAUAGAUAAGAAUUACUGGAAUGUUUUCUUUUCUAAAGCUUUUGCGCUUGAGGAUUGGACUGCACCGGAUUAGGUUGUUGCUAGGGUAACGUCCUGGCAAGCCGAUAAUCCGUACGAGCCUUGAGAGAGGAAGCUCGGAGAUGGAUUCUGAGACAAGAAUCCAGGCCCUACGGGGCGCAGCAGGCGCGAAAAUUUCCCAAUGCACGCAAGUGUGAGGAAGGAAUCUGGAGUGCAUUCUCUUACAUAGGGGAUGCUUUUGUGGAGUGUAAACAGCUCCAAGAAUAAGUGGUGGGUAAGACGGGUGCCAGCCGCCGCGGUAAUACCCGCGCCACGAGUGAUAACCACGUUUAUUGGGCUUAAAGCGUUCGUAGCCGGUUCAGAAAGUCCUUAGUGAAAUCCCAUAGCUAACUAUGGGGCUUGCUAGGGAAACUGUUGAACUUGGAACCGGGAGAGGUCUGGGGUACUCAAAGGGUAGGGGUAAAAUCCUGUAAUCCUUUGGGGACCACCUGUGGCGAAGGCGCCAGACCAGAACGGAUUCGACGGUGAGGGACGAAAGCCAGGGGAGCAAAGGGGAUUAGAUACCCCCGUAGUCCUGGCUGUAAACGAUGCCCACUAGACAUUGGCAAUCUUACGUGGGUUGUCAGUGCCGUAGCGAAAGCGUUAAGUGGGCCGCCUGGGGAGUACGGUCGCAAGGCUGAAACUUAAGGGAAUUGGCGGGGGAGCACACAAGGGGUGGAGGCUGCGGUUUAAUUGGAGUCAACGCCG